rnacentral:rRNA from 1 species
UAAUCGGGGUUGCGGACAGUGUCUGGUGGGUAGUUUGACUGGGGCGGUCUCCUCCUAAAGAGUAACGGAGGAGCACGAAGGUCAGCUAAUCCUGGUCGGACAUCAGGAGGUUAGUGCAAUGGCAUAAGCUGGCUUGACUGCGAGCGUGACGGCGCGAGCAGGUGCGAAAGCAGGUCAUAGUGAUCCGGUGGUUCUGAAUGGAAGGGCCAUCGCUCAACGGAUAAAAGGUACUCCGGGGAUAACAGGCUGAUACCGCCCAAGAGUUCAUAUCGACGGCGGUGUUUGGCACCUCGAUGUCGGCUCAUCACAUCCUGGGGCUGAAGUAGGUCCCAAGGGUAUGGCUGUUCGCCAUUUAAAGUGGUACGCGAGCUGGGUUUAGAACGUCGUGAGACAGUUCGGUCCCUAUCUGCCGUGGGCGCUGGAGAAUUGAGGGGGGCUGCUCCUAGUACGAGAGGACCGGAGUGGACGCAUCACUGGUGUUCGGGUUGUCAUGCCAAUGGCAUUGCCCGGUAGCUAAAUGCGGAAGAGAUAAGUGCUGAAAGCAUCUAAGCACGAAACUUGCC